AGAGUUUGAUCAUGGCUCAGAAUCAACGCUGGCGGCGUGCCUAACACAUGCAAGUCGAACGCGAAAGUCCCGCAAGGGAUGAGUAGAGUGGCAAACGGGUGAGUAACGCGUAGGUGACCUGCCUUCGAGCGGGGGAUAACGUUCCGAAAGGGACGCUAAUACCGCAUAACAUCCUGCCUUUGAAGAGGCGGUGAUCAAAGCUGGGGAUCGCAAGACCUAGCACUUGAAGAGGGGCCCGCGUCCGAUUAGCUAGUUGGUGGGGUAAUGGCUCACCAAGGCAACGAUCGGUAGCCGGCCUGAGAGGGCGGACGGCCACACUGGGACUGAGACACGGCCCAGACUCCCACGGGAGGCAGCAGUGGGGAAUUGUUCGCAAUGGGCGCAAGCCUGACGACGCAACGCCGCGUGGAGGAUGAAGACCUUCGGGUCGUAAACUCCUUUCGAUCGAGACGAAUUCCUCCGGGGUGAACAAUCCCGGAAGUUGACGGUACCGAGAGAAGAAGCCCCGGCUAACUCCGUGCCAGCAGCCGCGGUAAUACGGGGGGGGCAAGCGUUGUUCGGAAUUACUGGGCGUAAAGGGCUCGUAGGCGGCCAACUAAGUCGGACGUGAAAUCCCUCGGUUUAACCGGGGAACUGCGUCCGAUACUGGUCGGCUUGAGUUUGGGAGAGGGAUGCGGAAUUCCAGGUGUAGCGGUGAAAUGCGUAGAUAUCUGGAGGAACACCGGUGGCGAAGGCGGCAUCCUGGACCAAUACUGACGCUGAGGAGCGAAAGCCAGGGGAGCAAACGGGAUUAGAUACCCCGGUAGUCCUGG
rnacentral:rRNA from 1 species